GCGGUCGUGGUGGAAUUGGUAGACACGCAAGGUUGAGGGCCUUGUGGGGGCAACCCUGUGCUGGUUCAAAUCCAGUCGACCGCACCA
rnacentral:tRNA from 1 species